CCUUUGAGGAUGCUGCUGUGGACUUCGCCUUGGAGGAGUGGCAGGACCUGGAUGCUGCUCAGAGGACCCUGUUCAGGGACGUGACGCUGGAGACCCACAGCAGCCUGGUAUCCUUGGGGGAGCAAAACUCCCCAGGAACUCCCAGUAGCUGCACUUUUUUCCUUUGUUGGUCAUUGCGUUACCAAACCUGAGGUGAUCUUCAAAUUGGAGCAGGGAGCAGAGCCAUGGACAGUAGAAGAAAUCCCAAACCAGAACCUUUCAGCUAGUAUAUAUAAAUUCAGCUUACACAUCUACUUCGGGAGAACUUAACCCACACCCUGGUUCCUCUGGGAGCAUACACCUGAACUGACUACCCAAACCAUGACCUGACUGACAAUACAGAGAGUUAAUUGUCACCAGUUAAGGAUUAUAGUUUCAGUUCUGCUUUUCAGUUAAUCAGCAAACAUGUCAAGCUAUUUUAUGUAACAGACACUACAAGACAUAGUCCUUCCCCACUAGUUCAGACUAGGGGAUGUACAGGCACUCCAGUGAGUAGAAUUAUACAUUAUCUGCAGGGGCGGAGAAGGCAUGCUCCACCAGAUUGUGCAGUUGGCUCCUGUUAAACUUGCUUUAAGUUAGAUAACAAUCACCUUGAUGAUUUCAUAAAAUCAAAGCAGCACAAAAUAUGUUCAAAAAUGUGUCUUUUAGGCAAUGAGACUGUAUUGGAUAUGAGAAAAAUGGAUGCAUUCUACUUUAAAGCAGAUUUAAAGUUAA